ensembl:lncRNA
GGGGUUAGACAGUACAGACAGGUCAUUAAGGAGCAGGUAGGGGUUAGACAGUACAGAGACAGGUCAUUAAGGAGCAGGUAGGGGUUAGACAGUACAGAGACAGGUCAUUAAGGAGCAGGUAGGGGUUAGACAGUACAGAGACAGGUCAUUAAGGAGCAGGUAGGGGUUAGACAGUACAGAGACAGGUCAUUAAGGAGCAGGUAGGGGUUAGGCAGUACAGAGACAGGUCAUUAAGGAGCAGGUAGGGGUUAGACAGUACAGAGACAGGUCAUUAAGGAGCAGGUAGGGGUUAGACAGUACAGAGACAGGACAUUAAGGAGCAGGUAGGGGUUAGACAGUACAGAGACAGGUCAUUAAGGAGCAGGUAGGGGUUAGACAGUUCAGAGACAGGUCAUUAAGGAGCAGGUAGGGGUUAGACAGUACAGAGACAGGUCAUUGAGGAGCAGGUAGGGGUUAGACAGUACAGAGACAGG